rnacentral:rRNA from 1 species
ACACUAUCGUUAACUGAAUACAUAGGUUAACGAGGCGAACCGGGGGAACUGAAACAUCUAAGUACCCCGAGGAAAAGAAAUCAACCGAGAUUCCCCCAGUAGCGGCGAGCGAACGGGGAGCAGCCCGGAGUCUGAAUCAGCUUGUGUGUUAGUGGAACGGUCUGGAAAGUCCGACGGUACAGGGUGAUAGUCCCGUACACGAAAGCACACUUGCUGUGAACUCGAAGAGUAGGGCGGGACACGUGGUAUCCUGUCUGAAUAUGGGGGGACCAUCCUCCAAGGCUAAAUACUCCUGACUGACCGAUAGUGAACCAGUACCGUGAGGGAAAGGCGAAAAGAACCCCGGCGAGGGGAGUGAAAAAGAACCUGAAACCGUGUACGUACAAGCAGUGGGAGCACCUUCGUGGUGUGACUGCGUACCUUUUGUAUAAUGGGUCAGCGACUUAUAUUCUGUAGCAAGGUUAACCGUAUAGGGGAGCCGAAGGGAAACCGAGUCUUAACUGGGCGUUAAGUUGCAGGGUAUAGACCCGAAACCCGGUGAUCUAGCCAUGGGCAGGUUGAAGGUUGGGUAACACUAACUGGAGGACCGAACCGACUAAUGUUGAAAAAUUAGCGGAUGACCUGUGGCUGGGGGUGAAAGGCCAAUCAAACCGGGAGAUAGCUGGUUCUCCCCGAAAGCUAUUUAGGUAGCGCCUCGUGAACUCAUCUUCGGGGGUAGAGCACUGUUUCGGCUAGGGGGCCAUCCCGGCUUACCAACCCGAUGCAAACUACGAAUACCGAAGAAUGUUAUCACGGGAGACACACGGCGGGUGCUAACGUCCGUCGUGAAGAGGGAAACAACCCAGACCGCCAGCUAAGGUCCCAAAGUCAUGGUUAAGUGGGAAACGAUGUGGGAAGGCACAGACAGCCAGGAUGUUGGCUUAGAAGCAGCCAUCAUUUAAAGAAAGCGUAAUAGCUCACUGGUCGAGUCGGCCUGCGCGGAAGAUGUAACGGGGCUAAACCAUGCACCGAAGCUGCGGCAGCGACACUAUGUGUUGUUGGGUAGGGGAGCGUUCUGUAAGCCGUUGAAGGUGUGCUGUGAGGCAUGCUGGAGGUAUCAGAAGUGCGAAUGCUGACAUAAGUAACGAUAAAGCGGGUGAAAAGCCCGCUCGCCGGAAGACCAAGGGUUCCUGUCCAACGUUAAUCGGGGCAGGGUGAGUCGACCCCUAAGGCGAGGCCGAAAGGCGUAGUCGAUGGGAAACAGGUUAAUAUUCCUGUACUUGGUGUUACUGCGAAGGGGGGACGGAGAAGGCUAUGUCAGCCGGGCGACGGUUGUCCCGGUUUAAGCAUGUAGGCGGAGGUUCCAGGUAAAUCCGGUACCUUAUUAACGCUGAGGUGUGAUGACGAGGCACUACGGUGCUGAAGUGAUAAAUGCCCUGCUUCCAGGAAAAGCCUCUAAGCAUCAGGUAACACGAAAUCGUACCCCAAACCGACACAGGUGGUCAGGUAGAGAAUACCAAGGCGCUUGAGAGAACUCGGGUGAAGGAACUAGGCAAAAUGGUGCCGUAACUUCGGGAGAAGGCACGCUGAUGUGUAGGUGAAGUCCCUGCGGACGGAGCUGAAAUCAGUCGAAGAUACCAGCUGGCUGCAACUGUUUAUUAAAAACACAGCACUGUGCAAACACGAAAGUGGACGUAUACGGUGUGACGCCUGCCCGGUGCCGGAAGGUUAAUUGAUGGGGUUAGCUGUAAGGCGAAGCUCUUGAUCGAAGCCCCGGUAAACGGCGGCCGUAACUAUAACGGUCCUAAGGUAGCGAAAUUCCUUGUCGGGUAAGUUCCGACCUGCACGAAUGGCGUAAUGAUGGCCAGGCUGUCUCCACCCGAGACUCAGUGAAAUUGAACUCGCUGUGAAGAUGCAGUGUACCCGCGGCAAGACGGAAAGACCCCGUGAACCUUUACUAUAGCUUGACACUGAACACUGGUCCUUGAUGUGUAGGAUAGGUGGGAGGCUUUGAAGCGUGGACGCCAGUCUGCGUGGAGCCGCCCUUGAAAUACCACCCUUUAAUGGCUGGUGUUCUAACGUAGACCCGUAAUCCGGGUUGCGGACAGUGUCUGGUGGGUAGUUUGACUGGGGCGGUCUCCUCCCAAAGAGUAACGGAGGAGCACGAAGGUUGGCUAAUCCUGGUCGGACAUCAGGAGGUUAGUGCAAUGGCAUAAGCCAGCUUGACUGCGAGCGUGACGGCGCGAGCAGGUGCGAAAGCAGGUCAUAGUGAUCCGGUGGUUCUGAAUGGAAGGGCCAUCGCUCAACGGAUAAAAGGUACUCCGGGGAUAACAGGCUGAUACCGCCCAAGAGUUCAUAUCGACGGCGGUGUUUGGCACCUCGAUGUCGGCUCAUCACAUCCUGGGGCUGAAGUAGGUCCCAAGGGUAUGGCUGUUCGCCAUUUAAAGUGGUACGCGAGCUGGGUUUAGAACGUCGUGAGACAGUUCGGUCCCUAUCUGCCGUGGGCGCUGGAGAAUUGAGGGGGGCUGCUCCUAGUACGAGAGGACCGGAGUGGACGCAUCACUGGUGUUCGGGUUGUCAUGCCAAUGGCACUGCCCGGUAGCUAAAUGCGGAAGAGAUAAGUGCUGAAAGCAUCUAAGCACGAAACUUGCCCCGAGAUGAGUUCU